rnacentral:rRNA from 1 species
UGGGGAAUAUUGCACAAUGGGCGAAAGCCUGAUGCAGCGACGCCGCGUGAAGGAAGAAGGUCUUCGGAUUGUAAACUUCUAUCAGCAGGGAAGAAUAAAUGACGGUACCUGACUAAGAAGCUCCGGCUAACUACGUGCCAGCAGCCGCGGUAAUACGUAGGGAGCGAGCGUUAUCCGGAUUUACUGGGUGUAAAGGGUGCGUAGGCGGUUUGUUAAGUCAGAAGUGAAAUUUAGGGGCUCAACCUCUAAGCUGCUUCUGAAACUGAUGAACUAGAGUGUGGGAGAGGAAAGUGGAAUUCCGAGUGUAGCGGUGAAAUGCGUAGAGAUUCGGAGGAACACCAGUAGCGAAGGCGGCUUUCUGGACCAUAACUGACGCUGAGGCACGAAAGCGUGGGGAGCGAACA